UACGGUGGAUGCGAGCGUUAUCCGGAUUUAUUGGGUUUAAAGGGUGCGUAGGCGGGAUGCCAAGUCAGCGGUAAAAAUGCGGUGCUCAACGCCGUCGAGCCGUUGAAACUGGCGUUCUUGAGUGGGCGAGAAGUAUGCGGAAUGCGUGGUGUAGCGGUGAAAUGCAUAAAUAUCACGCAGAACUCCGAUUGCGAAGGCAGCAUACCGGCGCCCUACUGACGCUGAGGCACGAAAGCGUGGGUAUCGAACAGG
rnacentral:rRNA from 1 species